AAACAAUCUGACUGAAGAGAGAGACCAGCUACAGACUAGCAACAACACGCUGACCAAAGGAGAGACCAGCUACAGACCAGCGACAACACCCUGACCAAAGAGAGAGACCAGCUACAGACCAGAUACAACACCCUGACCAAAGAGAGAGACCAGCUACAGACCAGUUACAACACCCUGACCAAAGAGAGAGACCAGCUACAGAAAGAGACAGAACUUCUGAAACAAUCUUUAGUUGAGAAAGUGUGUCCUCGAGGAUGGAAGAAGCUUGGUAGCAGUUGUUACUACGUCUCUACUGAGACAAAAUCCUGGGAGGAGAGCAGACAGGACUGCAGAAAUAGAGGAGCAGACCUGGUCAUCAUCAACAGCCAAGAGAAACAGACAUUAGUCAAUUGGUUAUGCGGGGUAAAGAACUAUGUCUGGAUUGGUCUGACUGACUCUGUUACUGAGGGGACCUGAAA